rnacentral:misc_RNA from 2 species
UGGGAGCAAAGCUUGCUCGCGAUGGCGGCGGACCAGUCAAUGACGUUGUCGACUGGCACACCCCAAUCGCGAGCAAGCUUUGCUCCCA